AACGUAGGUACCAAGCGUUAUCCGGAUUCACUGGGCGUAAAGCGCGUGCAGGUGGUUGGGUAAGUCGGGCAUGAAAACUCUUGGCUUAACUGAGAGAAGCUGCUCGAUACUGCUCGACUGGAGGGCAUAAGAGGGAGAUGGAAUUCCGCGUGUAGUGGUGAAAUGCGUAGAUAUGCGGAGGAACACCAGUGGCGAAGGCGGUCUCCUGGUAUGCACCUGACACUCAGACGCGAAGGCUAGGGGAGCGAACGGGAUUAGAAACCCCGGUAGUCCUAGCAGUAAACGAUGAUUACUAGGUGUUAGUGGUAACCAAACCACUAGUGCCGAAGCUAACGCGAUAAGUAAUCCGCCUGGGGACUACGAUCGCAAGAUUA
rnacentral:rRNA from 1 species